rnacentral:lncRNA from 1 species
UCAGGAUUCUGAGAUGUGCAAAGACUACCGAGUAUUGCCCAGGAUAGGUUAUCUUUGUCCAAAGGAUUUAAAGCCUGUCUGUGGUGACGAUGGCCAAACCUACAACAAUCCUUGCAUGCUCUGUCAUGAAAACCUGAUACGCCAAACAAAUACACACAUCCGCAGUACAGGGAAGUGUGAGGAGAGCAGCACCCCAGGAACCACCGCAGCCAGCAUGCCCCCGUCUGACGAAUGACAGGAAGAUUGUUGAAAGCCAUGAGGGAAAAAAUAAACCCCAGUUCUGAAUCACCUACCUUCACCAUCUGUAUAUACAAAGAAUUCUUCGGAGCUUGUCUUAUUUGCUAUAGAAAACAAUACAGAGCUUUUGGGAAUGGACUCACUGAUUUUCAGUCUUUUCCAUCUCUUUCCUCCUAGACUCUGUGAUCUGAGGGUAUAAAGACAUCUCCACCAAGUCUGAGCCCUCAAAAUGUCCUGAUUACAAUGCUGUCUGUCCAACUGCCUGUUCAAUAAAAGUAAACUCAGCAG